GCACUCUUGGUGUAGCAGUAACAUACAAUCUACUUCUACCAAAGAGAUGACUGCCUAAGAUUGGGUCCGGGGUUCGACUCCCCGAGGGCGCA